rnacentral:rRNA from 1 species
GACGAACGCUGGCGGCGUGCUUAACACAUGCAAGUCGAACGGAAAGGCCCUGCUUUUGUGGGGUGCUCGAGGGGCGAACGGGUGAGUAACACGUGAGUAACCUGCCCUUGACUUUGGGAUAACUUCAGGAAACUGGGGCUAAUACCGGAUAGGAGCUCCUGCUGCAUGGUGGGGGUGGGAAAGUUUCGGCGGUUGGGGAUGGACUCGCGGCUUACCAGCUUGUUGGUGGGGUAGUGGCUUACCCAGGCUUGGACGGGUAGCCGGCCUGGGAGGGUGACCGGCGACAUUAGUACUAAGGUACGGACCAGACUCGAACAGGAGGCAACGGUGGGAAGUAUUACACAGUGAGCGGGAGCCUGAUACGGAGGCGCCGCGUGCGGGAUGACGGCCUUCGGGUUGUGAACCGCUUUCGCCUGUGACGAAGCGUGAGUGACGGUAAUGAAUAAAGAAGCACCGGCUAACUACGUG